rnacentral:rRNA from 1 species
AUGAACGCUAGCGGGAGGCCUAACACAUGCAAGCCGAGCGGUAGAAAGUAGCUUGCUACUUUUGAGAGCGGCGUACGGGUGCGUAACACGUGUGCAACCUGCCUUUAUCUGGAGAAUAGCCUUUCGAAAGGAAGAUUAAUGCUCCGUAACAUAUUGAAUGGCAUCAUUUAAUAUUGAAAGCUCCGGCGGAUAGAGAUGGGCACGAGCAAGAUUAGUUAGUUGGUGAGGUAACGGCUCACCAAGGCGAUGAUCUUUAGGGGGCCUGAGAGGGUGCUCCCCCACACUGGUACUGAGACACGGACCAGACUCCUACGGGAGGCAGCAGUGAGGAAUAUUGGACAAUGGGUGAACGCCUGAUCCAGCCAUCCCGCGUGAGGGAUGACGGCCCUAUGGGUUGUAAACUUCUUUUGUAUAGGGAUAAACCUACCCUCGUGAGGGUAGCUGAAGGUACUAUACGAAUAAGCACCGGCUAACUCCGUGCCAGCCGCCGCGGUAA